GCUCCCGUCGCUGUCUGUAUUUCCUCCUCACAUGUCAUCCAUCACUCCGGUCCCACUGCACCUCCUCCAUGGUUUCUGAUGCAAAGGUGCAACUGCUGGACUUGAUGUUGGCCCACCGGAGACUGUUGAUGUGAGCAUCUCUCAGUUUGAAAAGCUGCUCUCCCGUGCCUGCCUGGCACACGGGGAGCCCUCUCCAGCAUAUGCCAUCCCAGCCUCAGGUGCUGGCACAGCCUGAAUCCUCAUCUCCACUUCGUGGGCUCCUCGUUAAUCUCUGAGGUCGGAGAAAAAGUUUCUGAGGUUUAUUAAAAAAACCCUCUGAAUUAAUUCUGCCUUUGUGUGGUCAGCCUGUGAGCCUGGAGCACACCUGAACCAAGGAGCAAAUUAAGGUCAGGUGCAGUUUGCCUGAGAAAUCAUAACUACCAUACGUGGGUGCAGCAAAGUGGAAGCUCUCAAAGCCCAAGCUCGUUGUCCAGAGAAUACAGCUGUAAAGCAGGCAGUCGAUGAGAACAGAAGAAGGAGCAGACGAUGGCACCAAACACUGCCCUGGAGCUGUGCCUGGUGCAAACAGCAUCCCGUGUGGAGAAGCAGAUCGUGCUCCUGCAAAGUUGAGAUCCCAAGUGGAGGAUUCCUGGUGACAGCCAGCACUGCUGCCGGGAUCUGGGAGCCGCCUGCGGGUGCCGAGCUGGAGCAGAGCGAGCAGAGUCAGGAGUGCUCCUAUUGACAGAUCAGCAUGCUGGAUUUUAUGGAGGAUUUCUACAGCUGAGGGAUAACUGUGAAUUUCCAGGUUCUCCUCUGAUGGUGUCCAUCUCACAGAGCUCUCUCAGGAAGCAGCAAGUGGAGCUGGGCUGUGUGAGCACCUGCCAGGACCUACACUUGUGCAGGUGGUAAAACAUUGGCUGCCAUGAACUUCAUGAUCAAAAAAAAAAAAAAAAGAAAGAAGGAAAAGCUGUGGUUUGGAAGCUGCUGGAUAGCAAACUGCAGGCUGGGAAUGUGGCUGCUGAAACCACUACAGGGAUAACGGGGCAUACACACGUUUGUGGAUAAUUCUGUUUGCUAAUUGCUCCUGAAAUUUCAGGUUGAAAGAGAAGAAGGGAAUCUUCCAGGUGGCUGUGUCUUGAAAAGCAGGUGCUGCUGUGGUUGCUUCCUACCCGACCGUGCUGCACUGCUCCAAGCGACUGGCCAGGACUUAACUCCAGUUUUCCUGGCCUAUUUUGCAGCAGUCUUUUAUGUACAAGAACAACUCUGGAACAAACAAACAAAAAAUAAAAAGAGCAGCCUGGUCUAACCCAGAACAGUGGAUGGACAUUGAAACCAAGCUGAGGAUGCCUCAACCUUCUAAAAUCUUUUUCUCUGAAGAAAAAAAUUCCUCUUGAGUCUUCCUCAGUCUGAAGUAUGUUUCUGCUGGUCAGGAGUGAAAUAUUCUUAUGAGCUUUUUUUUUUUUCCUUCUGGGCAUCAGAUAAGACAGUCUUUGUCCCAGGUUUUACUGGAGCUCCCAGAGUCUCCUUUGGGAAUGGUUCUGUGUGUUCAGGAGGUGGUUGGUGACUGCAGUAAAACCUGUAUGAACCUGAGAUGGUUGUUCCUUUGUGCAUCAAUGUCUCACUGACACCAAGGUGGCAUAUUCAGCUUUUAAAGGCAUGUUUUUCCCUGGGAGCAGCACAAGGACACUGAAGGGUGUCUGACUUCCUCCUGUGUCCAGAGGGUGGUCAGUCAGGUGAGAGGGGCACCAUCAGACAACCCCUCUCCAUAAGCACUGUACACCUGAUGAAAAUAGGUGUUUGAGAACUGGCCUUCAGCUCUCUCACCACCUCUCAGUGCUUGCAGAAAAAAAAAAGAAGACAAAAAAAACCAAACCAAAGACAGUUUAUGUGCAGCUCAGGAAGCUCUCAGCAAUGAAUGUGUCUGUGAUUUAAUAACACAUCUACCCAGAAUGACACUUCUCCUAAUAUUUGCUGAGAGAAAGAAGGCAGAGCAGUGUGGGGCAGAACCAGCACACAAGGCAUUGCUAUUGCAAAAACAAACAGCUAAACUACCAUAUAUUUAUUUUUCAAUAUGCAUAGUUGUUGGAAUUGGAGAAUGAAAAUUAUUCCUUGACACUCUGAUGGAACCAUAGAAAGCCCUGUGCUUCCUCUCACUCCCAUGGUCCUGACAAGAAACAAUCCACAAAUUCUAAUAAGUAGAAAAUAGAAAUAAAUACUUUUAACUACUGGCAUCAGGUUGGAAUGGUUUUCUGAAUUGGGAAGUGCUGCUCGUACGUCUUCCUUAUUUCUGCACCCUGUAAUGGUGGCUCUCCAAAAGUCAGAGUCAAAGUGAGAUAGAUACUACAAGGAUCACAGACACUACACUGGGAAACCAAGUAUCAGUGGUGCAUCCAGAUUUAUGGUAGGUGAUGGCAGUAAAGUGAAAGCAAAACUGUUUGCACAGUCUGUAUUGUUGCCCAUUACUGUGUAUUUGCCCUUUUUUCUUGCUUAGCCACAGCUGCAAGAAUGGAAAAUUGUACCUUCUGUACAGUAUUAGGAGACACUUUCUGAUCGUAAGGUCAAUCAGACCAGUUUAGCUGCUUGAGGUAUUUAUGGCACAAUCACUCAGUGUCUUUAAGGAAAGGUUAGAUACAUUUAUGGGAAAGGUAUUUUGCAGAAGCCUUCCUGUUUCAUAGAGGUCUUGGACAAAAUGACCCAGGAGGCCCCUUCCAAGUCUAUCAAAUGUGGUUCCCUGAUUGAUGCUGUUUCCCCCCAAAGUCUUUCAAAACACAAAGCACUGUUAUAAAAUUUAAUAUGAUACACUAUAUAACUUUAACACAAUGCCAUUUUCUUAUAGGAAAUGGUUAGCUGGUAGCAAAGGAGCCUCGUGCAAAAGGAAGAACGGGAGGAAAAAAGAAAUUGCAGUGCAGUUUCUCUGCCAAGGGAUAUCGACUAUAACAUUUACACUCUGUCUUAGUAUGGACCCUCAGCUGUGCAGGGGGACAGCGAGGCAGGGAGGGAUAUCAGUAACCUGGACUGUGGUAUAUAUUUCUCCAGAAAAGCCCAACAAGGCCUGAGGUAAUUUUCUAUGCUGAGCAAUAAGCAUUACCUCAGUGCUGCAAAGCAAAUGGACACGCAGAUCUCCUUGUGAAUCACUGCUUGGUGCUGUAAUUUGCUGAAUGUUUACUAAAUUGACUGGUUUUUUUUUUCCUUUUCAAACCACUCACAUAUUUAAAAGUUAAAUUCAUGUUAAUGGAUUAAAAAAACAAAACAAAACAAAAAACAACAACAACAACAAAACCAAAAAACAAAACAAAACAAACAAAAAAACAACAACAAAAAAAACCAAACAAAAAAACCCAAACCAAACCAAAACAAAACAAAAAGAGAUUCUGUGGGUCAUUUGGUUGAGAUGUUCUGGUUGGCCUCCACUAAGUUUUAAUUUCAUGUCCUCACAGGUCAAAAAAAAAAACCAAAAAAACCCCAGGACUUUAUUGGAGUUUACUCUCAAAACCAUUUUAUAUAAACCUUUUUAUUUCCACUCCAGCUGAUUUAGUUAACAGACAGACUCCUCUUCCAAAAAACAGCUCCCUGCCCCGUCUUCUUGGGAUAGCCCUGACAGGAAAUAACAACAUCCAUACACAGACACUCUGAAGCCUUUUGAAGUCUCACAAAUGUGAGCUGUUCCCUUUUGCAGAGCAGGCUGGGAUUAACUUUUUUAUUAACCUUCUAACCUCAUCCAUGAGAAAGAAAAAUAGCCAAUCCCCCCCGCCCCCUUUUUGUUUUUAAUUUGGAAGCUUGCAUCCUUCUUUACCUAAACAUUCAUGUGCUCACCCUAUCAACAGGAGAAAAAAAGCCCAUGGAAAGCUCCCUUUCCAUGAGGAGCUCCCCAAAACCCCUCUAGGGCCCUUCCUGUUAUGUUGUACUCAAAGUUUGUGUUUUCAUGGGAAGAGACAUUUUCCCUUUACCAUAAAGCUUGGGUCUCUCUAUUUGAAUCAUAUUGGCAGGAGCAAAUCACAACCUUUUCAUUCUUUUCAACGUGUUGCAUCCAUGUAUUUUCCUGAUUCCCGUGUCAAAAAAAGUGACUUUUAGCAAAAUGAAAAAUCUGCCCUGGCUGUAAUCCUGACAGUGCUACCAUUGCUCAUCCUUAGCUCCAUCCCUGCAUUGCAGUGCAGAGGAGGCACUCACAUCAGAAUAGCUCUUCUCCCUUCAGACAAAACGGUAAAAAUUAGCCCCAGAGAGUGACAUGAGCAGAAAUUUCAAAGGCAGGAAAAUUUAUCUCCUGCUCUUUGUCUUACAGUAUGGUGCACUGUAGUGGUUGGAAGAUUUAGCUUCCAAGCAUCCCAUCUAUAUAAAUCCUACUGGACAAGAGCUCUCCGGCUUCGUUUUCAGGGCGGUUGAGCUCAGCAGCUGGAAUCUGCCAGGGAGUGAGGGUCGAGAUAAGGAAGGAGAAAAACUUGCCUGUAGCUUUCAGGUGUUGGUCAAGGGUCAAGAUUAGGAAACAGCCAAAGCCAAACAAACCUCUCAGCUCCAUCUCCUUGGUGUGGUGCAUGAGGUCACGGCUAUUUGGCACAAGGAUCAUGAUUUUGGGGCACCCCUGUCUCUCCUCUGCUGCAGCUCAGCCCAUUAACAGCCCUGAUGAUACAGUCCCUCUUGGGGUUUCCCCUUUUGAAAGGUUUAUAUUUGGUUUAAAUCAAUUGCAUCAAAAUUGAAAGCUCCACUUUAGCUUUUAGGAAGCCAAGACACUUAAAAAUCUCCAGUGGGAAGGACAAGUGAGGGAGGCAAAAUAUCUCUCCCUUGUAAAGGCAUUUAAAUGAAACCACUUUGAUGAGAAGUUUCCAGCUGCUUUGCUGGGAAAAAAGACACAUCCCAGUCCUAUCAUGCAGGGGUGCCCUUCACACCAACAGGCAGAGAAAAGAGGUGGUGGGAAGAGUGAGAGGCACCAAAAUAAUCCAUCUGCAUUUUUUGCCUUCUUUGAUCUUUGAAAAUGGGAAAACCCAUGCAGGAUCAGGAAUUUCCAACCUGGGCUGCAUGCACCAUUAAUUGUGCCAUGAAGCAGAGCUGGUUUGCUAUUGUUGCCUUCUGCACAAAAAGCUGUUACUGUGAGCUCUUUGGGGCUCAGGAACUCCCUUUCCCAGUUUUCAGUUAAUACUUCAAUGAUUAUACAUAAAUAAUAGUAACGGUAAUCAUAACAAUACCUGGCUUGCCAUUAUGUUGUACUCAGGGCUUUGUGAUGCCUCUCUCACGAUAAAAUCUGUGCAUUAAAUACUUUAAUUGAAACUCUUAUUAAAACAGAGGUAUUUUCACUUGUGCAGUUAUAUUCACAUAAUGAUCACAAAGCACUUUACAGAAUCAAAUAAAAGUGGCCAGCCUGAUUCUUCUAUAGAAGAUUUUGUGCAUUUCAGUAGCAUAUAACAAAGCUGCUCAACAUACAGUUAAUUGUCAAACAUACCAUAUUCUGGGCUUAGCAGCCUCCAAAAAGCU